AUAACUCUUACAAGGUAAAGUUUUUUGUUACGCGGUGUCAGUUUCAGAAGCGUAUUAACUGUUCGAUAUCAUAUACCAUAUAUCUUAGCGACAUCUUGCGAAACAAAAAAACAGUGAAGGAAAAAAAAGUUGGCGGAAGAAAAAAAAUAAUAAUAAUAAUAAUAAUAAUAAUAAUAAUCAGAACAAAUACAAUAGGUCUUUCAACUGAAAGGUUGAAAGACCUAAUAAUCAGAACAAAACCUAUAGGUCUUUCAACCGAAAGGUUGAAAGACCUAAUAAUCAGAACAAACCCUAUAGGUCUUUCAACCGAAAGGUUGAAAGACCUAAUAAUCAGAAGAAAUCCAAUAGGUCUUUCCACGGGAAAGUGGAAAGACCUAAUAAUCAGAAGAAAUCCAAUAGGUCUUUCCACGGAAAAGUGGAAAGACCUAAUUAU
rnacentral:lncRNA from 1 species